rnacentral:sRNA from 2 species
ACCGAAAGACGAUUAAUUUCGUUUUUUAGUUAUAAAAAACCUGCCAUCGCUGGCAGGUUUUUUUUUACC